rnacentral:ncRNA from 2 species
UAGUAGUUAAGCUUAUUUAAUAACAGUUCGGAUACAAGGGAAUCCCAUAAAAAGGAGCUGCCCCGCAACUGUAACCGGCGACGAAAUCUGCAAUAAGCCACUGGAAAGCCGUUUAAACGGUUUAAACUGAUUAAACAGCUUUCUGGGAAGGUGCAGAAAGUAGGUAGACCCGGAAGCCAGGAGACCUAUUCGAAUAAUCUAAGGUUA